AUGCGGCGGUGCCGGGGCGCAGGGCUGGCGGGGCUGGCCGCGGUGCUCCUGGUGGCUGUGGGCAGAGCCCAGGUGCAGCAGGAGCCGUCGGCAGAGACCACCGAGGGCACCGCCAUCAACAUCACUUGCUCACACCCCAACAUACAGACCGACGAUUACAUCCACUGGUACCGUCAGCUCCCGGGCCGAGGCCCCGCAUUCCUCACGUUCGGUCAUAAAGGGACCAAAGAGGUGCCGGACCCGCCGGGGCGGCUGUGGGUGGCGGCAGACCGCCGGUCCAGCGCCCUGUGGCUCGCCCGGCCCCGGCGCGGGGACGCGGCGGUGUAUUACUGCGCCCUCUUCCUUGUUGGUACAUAUGAGGUCCAGCAGAACACCUGUCCUUGUUGGAUCUUCUCUCACUUGGGUGAUGAAGUUGUCGUCCAUGCACUCCAGAAAACUCCUGGCUUCCUUAUGUCCUGCUGUGUUGUCCCUCUAGCAGAUAUUGUGGUGGCUGAAGUUCCCCAUGAGGAGCAGGGCCUGUGA